GUUGUAUAGUUAAGUGACUAAGCGUACACGGUGGAUGCCUAGGCAAUCAGAGGCGAAGAAGGACGUGCUAAUCUGCGAAAAGCUUGGAUGAGUUGAUAAGAAGCGUUUAAUCCAAGAUAUCCGAAUGGGGAAACCCGAUGGAUGAAGAAUCCAUCAUUUCAUUAUGAAUCCAUAGUAAUGAAAGGCAAACCGGGAGAACUGAAACAUCUAAGUACCCCGAGGAAAAGAAAUCAACCGAGAUUUUGUCAGUAGCGGCGAGCGAAAGCGAAAGAGCCAGUGAGUGAUAGCAGCAAAGACAGAAGAAUUGGCUGGGAAGCCAAGCGACACAGGGUGAUAGCCCCGUAUUCGAAGUUUUUGUUGUGGUACUAAGCUUGCAACAAGUAGGGCGGGACACGAGAAAUCCUGUUUGAAGAUGGGGGGACCAUCCUCCAAGGCUAAAUACUCCUGAUUGACCGAUAGUGAACCAGUACUGUGAAGGAAAGGCGAAAAGAACCCCAGUGAGGGGAGUGAAAUAGAACCUGAAACCGUGUACGUACAAGCAGUGGGAGCCCGAAAGGGUGACUGCGUACCUUUUGUAUAAUGGGUCAGCGACUUAUAUUUUGUAGCGAGGUUAACUGAAUAAGGGAGCCGAAGGGAAACCGAGUCUUAACUGGGCGGAUAGUUGCAAGGUAUAGACCCGAAACCCGGUGAUCUAGCCAUGGGCAGGUUGAAGGUUGGGUAACACUAACUGGAGGACCGAACCGACUAAUGUUGAAAAAUUAGCGGAUGACUUGUGGCUGGGGGUGAAAGGCCAAUCAAACCGGGAGAUAGCUGGUUCUCCCCGAAAUCUAUUUAGGUAGAGCCUUAUGUGAAUACCUUCGGGGGUAGAGCACUGUUUCGGCUAGGGGUCCAUCCCGGAUUACCAACCCGAUGCAAACUGCGAAUACCGAAGAGUAAUGCAUAGGAGACACACAGUGGGUGCUAACGUCCAUCGUGGAGAGGGAAACAACCCAGACCGCCAGCUAAGGUCCCAAAGUCUAUAUUAAGUGGGAAACGAAGUGGGAAGGCUUAGACAGCUAGGAUGUUGGCUUAGAAGCAGCCACCAUUUAAAGAAAGCGUAAUAGCUCACUAGUCGAGUCGGCCUGCGCGGAAGAUGUAACGGGGCUAAAAUAUAGCACCGAAGCUGCGGCAUCAGGCGUAUCACAAAUACGCCUUCGAUUAACAACAUCGAAUGAAGUGAAACGGAAUAAGAUGUUGGUCAAGCACCCAACACGUUGAGUUGGCAUAAAGUGCGGAUAGAAAUCAGAGGAAUAUUUGUGAUACGCCUGUUGGGUAGGGGAGCGUUGUGUAAGUCGAUGAAGGUGUAUUGAGAAGUAUGCUGGAGAUAUCACAAGUGCGAAUGCUGACAUAAGUAACGAUAAAACGAGUGAAAAACUCGUUCGCCGGAAGACCAAGGGUUCCUGUCCAACGUUAAUCGGGGCAGGGUGAGUCGGCCCCUAAGGCGAGGCUGAAAAGCGUAGUCGAUGGGAAACGGGUUAAUAUUCCCGUACUUGGUAAAGCUGCGAUGUGGGGACGGAGAAGGUUAGGUUAGCAGACUGUUGGAUGUCUGUUUAAGUUGGUAGGUGGGGAGUUUAGGCAAAUCCGGACUUCCAUAACACUGAGAGAUGAUGACGAGUUUCUACGGAAAUGAAGUAACUGAUACCACGCUUCCAGGAAAAGCCACUAAGCGAAAGGCUUUACUAAACCGUACUGAAAACCGACACAGGUGGUCAGGUAGAGAAUACUCAGGCGCUUGAGAGAACUCGGGUGAAGGAACUAGGCAAAAUAGCACCGUAACUUCGGGAGAAGGUGCGCUGGCGUAGGUUGUAAGAGUAUACCUCCGAAGGCUGAACCAGUCGAAGAUACCAGCUGGCUGCAACUGUUUAUUAAAAACACAGCACUCUGCAAACACGAAAGUGGACGUAUAGGGUGUGAUGCCUGCCCGGUGCUGGAAGGUUAAUUGAUGGUGUUAUCGAAAGAGAAGCUCCUGAUCGAAGCCCCAGUAAACGGCGGCCGUAACUAUAACGGUCCUAAGGUAGCGAAAUUCCUUGUCGGGUAAGUUCCGACCUGCACGAAUGGCAUAAUGAUGGCCAGGCUGUCUCCACCCGAGACUCAGUGAAAUUGAAAUCGCCGUGAAGAUGCGGUGUACCCGCGGCUAGACGGAAAGACCCCGUGAACCUUUACUAUAGCUUGACACUGAACAUUGAAUUUUGAUGUGUAGGAUAGGUGGGAG
rnacentral:rRNA from 1 species